UACGAAGGGGGCUAGCGUUGCUCGGAAUCACUGGGCGUAAAGCGCACGUAGGCGGACUCUUAAGUCGGUGGUGAAAUCCUGGAGCUCAACUCCAGAACUGCCUUUGAUACUGGAAAGCUUGAGUUCGGGAGAGGUGAGUGGAACUGCGAGUGUAGAGGUGAAAUUCGUAGAUAUUCGCAAGAACACCAGUGGCGAAGGCGGCUCACUGGCCCGAUACUGACGCUGAGGUGGCGAAAGCGUGGGGAGCAAACAGG
rnacentral:rRNA from 1 species